rnacentral:tmRNA from 1 species
GGGGGUGACUGGCUUCGACAGGUGCCGGUCGGUCCCGGAAGAGCGAGCCGAGUACCCCGGUCACCUCGUGAAACUGUCCGGGAAACACCAAUAGGUGCCGAAGACAACUUGGCCCUGGCGGCCUAGCUAGGCCGCCUGUCCGCCCUCGCCCGCCUGGGGUGGGGGAUCGGGCAUCGCAUCCAGGCUCGACCCGCCGGCGGUCGCCACGAGCCGGUGGGGACAUCCCAGUGGCGUACGGCCGCCGAACCGUCGGGUCUCGGGGCGCGGCGGCCCGACAAUCUACCGGGACCUACGCUCGUAGCGCUUCCGGAGCCGAGGCAGCUGGACCCGGGUUCGAUUCCCGGCACCUCCACCA